rnacentral:rRNA from 1 species
GCUGUGGACUGAGGAGAUCUUUCGAAGAAUUCUUUGUGAUUAUCUGUUAUGGUCGUUGCCGAGCGGCGCAAGCCGAGCGGCGGCGUACUGCUGCUUAUAAACAUGCUUGGCGUGCUCUAGAGUGCCGGUCAGGUUGGCAGGGUCAGGUGGGGACCUGAGCCUUCCUACUCGGCGUACGCGUCAAGCAGAAUGUUGAACUACCGGUGAGGUACCUAAAUGCACUCGUCUGCCGCUGUCGUUGAUUCAUGCAGUGGCGCAAAAGGCGAGGCGCAAGUGCCAGACUCGUGCACUGAUACGCGAGUCGAGAGCGCAAGGUUCAAAGAGUCGGGCUCGAGCUGGCUGUUGUUCACUACUUCAGCUGGCUGGCACUCAUUUCAUCAUGAGUGUUCCCAUCAUGAGACCGGCCGCCUCACACUUUCUCUUUAUUGAAUUGCUUAUUAUAUUGAAACUAUACUGAAUACGGGAUAAGAAAUACAACUCUAGGCGGUGGAUCACUCGGCUCGUGCGUCGAUGAAGAGCGCAGCAAACUGCGUGAAGUAGUGUGAAUUGCAGGACACCUUGAUCAUCGACAUCUCGAACGCACCUUGCGGCCGAGGUUUUAGCCUCGGCCACGUCUGUCUGAGGGUCGGCUUACUCUUAGGAGUAACCACACUGUAAUGUGGUUUGUUCGGAGGUUCACAUCGGCUCACUGAGACGAUGCCUCUGUAAAUUGUUGAACUGCGCCAGUCGGCCUGCGUCGUUGCUCAUGCGCGGGCUGAUACUGACUUGUUGGUGCGUUGGCAUGUCUCUGUCGUUGCUUCUAGCAGGGAACUCUGUGCGUGCGCUUGCGCGUGCUCGGAGGGCUAACGUGCUGUACACUAGUCGCGGUGCAACUAGACACUCAAAUCACGGCUCAGAUCAGCGGAUACUAUCCAAGG